AGUGAACGCUGGCGGCAGGCCUAAUACAUGCAAGUCGAACGACAAGAUAGUAAGAUUGCGCCUCUACGGGUGGCGAGGGGCGGGUGGGUGACGCAUAGAUCACCAUCCACUAAUACGUGGGUGACAACGUAGGGACACAUCUACUAAUACAUAAUAUGUUCUACCGCUGAGUGCAAUGGUGAAUCAGGCUUUUGCCGUCUCAUUUAGAUGAAUCCGUGCCGCAUUAGCUAGUUGGUAAGGUAACGGCCUACCAAGGCAACGAUGCGUAGCCGAUCUGAGAGGGUGAUCAGCCACACUGGAACUGAGACACGGUCCAGACUCCUACGGGAGGCAGCAGUAGGGAAUCUUCCGCAAUGGGCGAAAGCCUGAUGCAGCAAUGCCGCGUGAGUGAUGAAGGCCUUCGGAUUGUAAAACCCUGUUAUUAGGGAAGAAAAACUGCGUAAGAAACCACGCACGUCUUGACGGUACCCAAUCAGAAAGCCCCGGCUAACUUCGUG
rnacentral:rRNA from 1 species